rnacentral:hammerhead_ribozyme from 1 species
AUUCAGCUGACGAAUCUUAAAUAGGACGAAACACGCGUCUCGGAU